UACGGGGGGGGCAAGCGUUGUUCGGAAUUACUGGGCGUAAAGGGCUCGUAGGUGGCCAACUAAGUCAGACGUGAAAUCCCUCGGCUUAACCGGGGAACUGCGUCUGAUACUGGAUGGCUUGAGUUUGGGAGAGGGACGCGGAAUUCCAGGUGUAGCGGUGAAAUGCGCAGAUAUCAGGAGGAACACCGGUGGCGAAGGCGGGUCUCUGGGCCGAUACUGACGCUGAGGAGCGAAAGCGUGGGGAGCAAACAGG
rnacentral:rRNA from 1 species